AGCGAACGCUGGCGGCAGGCCUAACACAUGCAAGUCGAACGGAUCCUUCGGGGUUAGUGGCGGACGGGUGAGUAACACGUGGGAACGUGCCCUUUGGUUCGGAACAACUCAGGGAAACUUGAGCUAAUACCGGAUGUGCCCUUCGGGGGAAAGAUUUAUCGCCAUUGGAGCGGCCCGCGUCUGAUUAGCUAGUUGGUGAGGUAACGGCCCACCAAGGCGACGAUCAGUAGCUGGUCUGAGAGGAUGAUCAGCCACACUGGGACUGAGACACGGCCCAGACUCCUACGGGAGGCAGCAGUGGGGAAUCUUGCGCAAUGGGCGAAAGCCUGACGCAGCCAUGCCGCGUGAAUGAUGAAGGUCUUAGGAUUGUAAAAUUCUUUCAGCGGGGACGAUAAUGACGGUACCCGCAGAAGAAGCUCCGGCUAACUUCGUG
rnacentral:rRNA from 1 species